rnacentral:rRNA from 1 species
GACGAACGCUGGCGGCGUGCUUAACACAUGCAAGUCGAACGAUGAACCCGGAGCUUGCUCUUGGGGAUUAGUGGCGAACGGGUGAGUAACACGUGAGUAACCUGCCCUGGACUCUGGGAUAAGCGUUGGAAACGACGUCUAAUACCGGAUAGGACCUUGGAUCGCAUGAUCUGGGGUGGAAAGUUUUUUCGGUCUGGGAUGGACUCGCGGCCUAUCAGCUUGUUGGUGGGGUAAUGGCUCACCAAGGCGUCGACGGGUAGCCGGCCUGAGAGGGUGACCGGCGACACUGGGACUGAGACACGGCCCAGACGCCUCCGGGAGGCAGCAGUGGGGAAGAUUGCACAAUGGGCGAAAGCAUGAUGCAGCAACGCCGCGUGCGGGAGGACGGCCGUCGGGUUGUAAACCGCUUUUAGUAGGGAAGAAGGGCUUCGGCUUGACGGUACCUGCAGAAAAAGGACCGGCUAACUACGUG